CCGUAGGUGAACCUGCGGAGG
rnacentral:rRNA from 2 species